rnacentral:lncRNA from 1 species
AGGAACUAGUUGCGGAACAAAGGGAUGUCCAACCACAACGAGGAGGACCACCAUCACAGAGAGGUCGUGGGUAAGGUAGAGGUGGCAAUGGAAAUGGAAAUGGACGAGGACGUGGGGCACCUGGCAAGGGUGCGGGACAUGCUGAAGCUCGACAACCGGUGUUGGUUUAUGCUACACGACGUCGUGAGGAGGGUGACGCUCCUGAUGUUAUAACCGGUACGUUCUUCAUUCAUAGCAC